rnacentral:rRNA from 1 species
AGCGAACGCUGGCGGCAGGCCUAAUACAUGCAAGUCGAGCGCACCUUCGGGUGAGCGGCGGACGGGUGAGUAACGCGUGGGAAUGUGCCCUUUGGUACGGAACAACUGAGGGAAACUUCAGCUAAUACCGUAUGUGCCCUUCGGGGAAAGAUUUAUCGCCAUUGGAGCAGCCCGCGUUGGAUUAGGUAGUUGGUGAGGUAAAGGCUCACCAAGCCUACGAUCCAUAGCUGGCUGAGAGGAUGAUCAGCCACACUGGGACUGAGACACGGCCCAGACUCCUACGGGAGGCAGCAGUAGGGAAUCUUGCGCAAUGGGCGAAAGCCUGACGCAGCCAUGCCGCGUGAAUGAUGAAGUCUUAGGAUUGUAAAAUUCUUUCACCGGGGGAA